AAUACGGGGGGAGCAAGCGUUGUUCGGAUUUACUGGGCGUAAAGGGCGGGUAGGCGGCACUGCAAGUCGACUGUGAAAUCUCCGGGCUUAACUCGGAAAGGUCAGCCGAUACUGCGGGGCUAGAGUGCAGAAGGGGCAACUGGAAUUCUCGGUGUAGCGGUGAAAUGCGUAGAUAUCGAGAGGAACACCUGCGGCGAAGGCGGGUUGCUGGGCUGACACUGACGCUGAACUGCGAAAGCUAGGGGAGCGAACG
rnacentral:rRNA from 1 species